UCGGAAGGUGCGGCUGGAUCACCUCCUUUCUAAGGAGUAAUUACCUACUGUUUAAUUUUGAGAGCUUAUUGUUCUCAAAAUUAGUACUUUGAAAACUGCAUAACAUUUAGUGAUGAUUAAAUAAACCAAUUAUAAGAGAAGAAAACUCUUUAAAAAAUAACACUUUUAAGCAAUGGGACAUGAGUCAUAUUGACGAAUGGACAUUGGCGAAGUCAUUUAAUAACU
rnacentral:misc_RNA from 1 species